GCUGUUAAAAAACUCGUAGUUGGAUCAAGAGUUGGACAGUGCACGGUGGCCCCAUUUGUGUGGCCGGCUCCGGUCAGUUAUACGGUGGCGGAACAACCCCGUGCGCCAAACUGUCCACUCUAACAGACCGAAGCGGUUCCCUGUGAGUAGGCUCCUUAAUUGGGGCUGAAAGCGCCUACGCAUCAACCAUAUGCAUACGGGACGUCGGUCAAUGUUACUGUGAACAAACCAGCGUGUCCAAGGCAGGCUUUCGCCUGAAUGUUCGAACAUGGAAUAACAAGGGAUCGAUUCUCUCGGUUCUUUUUGUUGGUUUUAUCCCGAGAAGGAGAAAUUCAGGCCACGGUGUCUGAGUUGGGUUUCCCAGGGCUUCGGCUUUGGCCCCAAUUAGGCGGUGUCCUUACGGGAUCAAUAGGGACUGACGGGGUCGUACCUACUUCCGCGUCAGAGGUGAAAUUCUUAGAUCGCGGGAAGAGGAACUUCAGCGAAAGCAUUCGACAAGAAUGUCUUCAUUAAUCAAGAACGAGAGUGUGGGGAUCGAAGAUGAUCAGAUACCGUCGUAGUCCACUACUGUAAACAAUGCCGUGUCAGGAUUGAUAAGUGAACAGAAUGACUUUCACAGCACUAACCCCUGAAACGAGA
rnacentral:rRNA from 1 species